UACGGAGGGUGCGAGCGUUGUCCGGAAUCACUGGGCGUAAAGGGCGCGUAGGUGGCCCGUUAAGUGGCUGGUGAAAUCCCGCGGCUCAACUGCGGGGCUGCCGGUCAUACUGGCGAGCUAGAGCACGGUAGGGGCAGAUGGAAUUCCCGGUGUAGCGGUGAAAUGUGUAGAGAUCGGGAGGAACACCGGUGGCGAAGGCGGGUCUCUGGGCAUCUCCUGACGCUGAGGCGCGAAAGCGUGGGGAGCAAACGGG
rnacentral:rRNA from 1 species